rnacentral:rRNA from 1 species
AACCAGGAAAGUUAAGUCAUAUUUCUAACGGUAAAAAGAUAGUUAAAUAAGCACAAAAGUUUAUUUAUUAUUUAUAAAGAGGUAAAAUUUUUAUAUAAAUAUAUAAUUUAAUUUUAACUUAAGUAUUGAAGCUAUGAUAGCCUUGAGGGAAACCGGGAUCAGAUACCCCGUUAUUCUUGGCUGUAAAUAAAUAAUGAUUUACCAGAGUACUACGAAGCAUAAAAGUUUAAAACUCAAAGAGCUUGGCGGUGUUUUAGACCCUUCAGGGGAACCUGUCUCGUAAUCGAUAAUCCACGUUAGACCUGACCUUUUUUUGCCCUCAGUUUGUAUAUCGUCGUCGAAAGGUAACUUUUAAGAAACGAUUAGUUAGCAACAAAUUAUGUAAGUUUAGACGUCAGAUCAAGGUGCAACUUAUAAAAAGGGGAAGAUGGGUUACAAUUAUUUAAUUAUAAUAACGGAUUAAUACUUGAAUAAGUAUUUUUAAGGAGGACUUGAAAGUAAAUUAUAUUAUAUAAAUAUUUUGAACAAGGCUCUGAAAUGU